rnacentral:rRNA from 1 species
GAGCUAAUUUUAGAAGGGUUUUAGACUUAAGCUUAUUAAUGUUAAAAGUAUUAAAUGAUUAUCUAAAAUUAGGAGCGACAUGUUUUCACUUUUUCUGUUAUCUGGAUUUAGGUUAAAUGUGUUAAGCACAGAAUUACGUUUGAGCUUAAAGGUGUUCAGAUCUUUAAUAUUCUCAAAUCAUAAUUUAUCUAUAUUCUUGGUUUAAUAUCCUAAGGGUUUAUUGGCGGCAAAUAACUUUUCUUCUUCUUGAGGACUAUUAAUUUAAUAUUUAUAAGAUCUUAAUUAUAUAUCAAUUCUGUAAAAAUUAGUAUUAUCUAUUUAAUCUUAGAUAAGGAACUCGGCAAAACAUCCUUUCGACUGUUUACCAAAAACAUAGCUUUCUGAGUAGUAUAUAGAAAGUAACCUCUGCCCAGUGUGUCCAUAAACGGCCGCAGUACCCUGACUGUGCUAAGGUAGCAUAAUAAAUUGGCCUUUAAUUGAGGUCUAGUAUCAACGAGGUUUCGUAAGGGUUCUGCCUCAUCUAAGUUAAUUAGAAUUUUCUUUAUGAGGUGAAAAUUCCUCUAAAAAAGUUUAAUAGACGAGAAGACCCUAAGAGUUUUAAAAACAGAAGUUAAUUAACUUUGUAUUUUUUGUUGGGGCGACAGAGUAGCAAUUAAACCUGCUUUAAGAUUAAUCUUUGUCAAGAGCUUUCAAGAUAAAUUAAACUACCUUAGGGAUAACAGCGCAAUAAAACUUUUUGCUUACGACCUCGAUGUUGGAUUAGGGAAUAUAUAGUCUAGAAGAUUAUAUAAUUUGUUCUGUUCGAACGUAAACCCCUACAUGAUCUGAGUUCAGACCGGCGUA